rnacentral:rRNA from 1 species
CCUGGCGGCUGUAGCGCGGUGGUCCCACCUGACCCCAUGCCGAACUCAGAAGUGAAACGCCGUAGCGCCGAUGGUAGUGUGGGGUCUCCCCAUGUGAGAGUAGGGAACUGC